GAAACCGGUAGCGAAGCGGUCCAGGUGGUGGUAGUGGCGUCGACGGCGACAGUGCCCUCCCCUGUUCCUUCUCCUGGCGACGGACUUCAUCGGCAAAGCUUAGAACCAUAGUCUCGGCCUCCAAAGGGCGCAGCGGCGGCAAGCAGUAGCCAUGAACCCUGUCUGCUCUCUCUUCUCCGGCGGUGAUGCUCAGGCAACGAGCUCGUGAAGCAAGGAAGGCAAUGGCGAUGGGAUUUCUUCUCCCCGUUUCUGGCGUAAACGGCGAACGACGGUGAUGAGUCGCAGCGGCGUUGUGACGAUCGGCGUCAGCUCUUUUCCCCCCCGUUCUCGGUACGCAAAGCAGCAAGGAGAGCGAGUUCUCUCUCCCUCCCGGCGCAACUGAAGUUCCGACGUUUGGGUCUCGGCGGCGGUGUCCGGCGUGACUUCUUCCCCUGUCUUCCCGGCGACGCACGGCAGAACAGAGCUGCGAUGUUCAAUGGCUGCGGAACACCUUGACGGCUUCAACACCCCUGCCACCCUCUUCCGUUCGGCCAAGCGGCAGUGGCAGCGGAGGAACUGAACGGCGCUCCCUUCUCCGUCUAACGUGAGUAGCGGCAGUAGCGGAGGGCUAUGGCGGCAACGGUGACUCCGUGGAGUGUAGCUGCGUCCCUAUCCCUCUCUUGACGACGCCCAGCGAACCAAGCAACCGUAGCGGUGGAGUCCUCCCUUCUCGAUGACCAUUGCCACAAUCGGAGUAAUAACGCCGGCGGCGACGAUUCUUCAGUCCUCCCCGUUCGGUAGCUCUCGCUCGUUCCAGUAUGGUGGAUGAAGACUCGCAACAACGGAUGUUAAGCUUUAGUCGCGGAUCACAACACAAGGAACAUCGUGGCUCAGUGGGUUGGUGUUGGUUGGUUAGGCGUGAGGGCGCGAGUUCGAACCCAGGGCUGAGCAGCGUGACUAAGGUUCGUGAUUAUGAACCGAGCUUUGAGUUUGACGUUGCUUUGGAUUAAAAUGCUUUGGGUUAAUUACGCUUCAAAGGUUUGCCUUAAAGUCUAUGCGUGAGCGCGAUAGAGAUACACCCGUAUGAGG